rnacentral:lncRNA from 1 species
CACAUUCCUUCGUGUUCAAGUAUACGUGUGGUUGGCUCGAGCACAGAAGCACAGAGCUGAGCAAAAUAUUCAGCGCCUUUUUCAGAGAACCCUGGCUGGUGCUGGUGGAUGUUCCUGCCCCUUCCUCCACCAUGAACAUUUUUAAAAAUUAAGGGAGAAACAGGAAAACUUUGAAGAAUCUUCCAGAUUUGCCUAACGCAGAUGUGCAUGACCUGACAAGAUAGAUGUGCCAUUUGGACCCUUUCAAGAGCAGACAGAAUGGAAGGGAGGCUGGAGUGCAAUGGUGUGAUCUCUGCUCCUGCAACCUGCGCCUCCUGAGUUCAAGCGAUUCUCCUGCCUCAGCCUCCCAAGUUGCUGGGAUUACAGGGGCCCGCCACCACGCCCAGCUAAUUUUUGUUAUUUUCAGUAGAGAUGGGGUUUCAUCAUGUUGGCCAGGCUAGUCUUGAACUCCUGACCUCAGGCGAUCCGCCCGCCUCGGCCUCCCAAAGUGCUGGGAUUACAGGUGUGAGCCACUGCACCUGCCCAAGGACUAAGGUUUUCUAUUUCUUAUUGUGUCAGUUAGGUUGUAUUUUUCUGUGAAUCUGUUCAUUUCACCAAAUUUUCAAGUUUGUUGGCUUAAAGUUUUCGAUAAUAUACUCUUAUUUUGUGGUGAAGUCCCUUUUUUAUUUCUUGUAUUUGUUAUUUGUGCCUUCUUUUCUUUUUUUUUUUUCCUUUUCUUUUUUAUGAGAUAGAGUUUCACUCUUGUCGCCCAAGCUGGAGUGCAAUGGCGCGAUC